UGCUAGAUGUGCAAAUAUCUG
ensembl:piRNA 21ur-4172 ncRNA